UUACGAAUGCUCCUCAGGCAUUUCAAGACAGUCUGUGGCAACAAGAGGAAGUAUAAACGAAUAGGAGUUAGCUAACACAGUUUAGAUUUUGUACAUUUUCCAUCAUUAAACCUUGAGUGUUGUUGAGUUUCAAUCUCAGAGUUUUUACGCUUUCCUCAUCGUCCACCAAUCACGUAAUGCAGGUGUUUGAAAUAGCAACACGAAACGGGAAAGCCUACCCAAUCUGACCUAACUCACACUAACCUCGAUUCUCGUAUCAUCUAUCGGCAGAUUUCAUCCUAUCACAGUUCAGUAUAUAGGCAGAAAUGGAAAUAUUGCCAGCCUAUGAACCUAGUAACCUAAUUAUUCCGGACAGACAACAACAGAGAUAAGAAAUAAAAGAAAGUGCCUGUUGGAACUCGCUAUAAACCACCACGGUUGUGCCCCCGCGCAUGAUUCAAGCCAUGGUAUCUCUUUUAAGUAACAAACGAAAAUAUCUAUAUCUCAAAAGCGGAUGAUCUUUCAACCUGUAUUUACUAAAGUUUUUUUACUAAUUGUCAGUACAGAAUGUCCUUAUAUACCAUAUAAAUAUUGAAUGCUUUUUUUAAACACCAUAUAUACAUACGCAUAGAAACAAUCAAUACGAAUUCAAAUGUUUCGCUAUAUUAGGAGUGGGAACUAUUUAGUUAGGCAUCAAACUCACAAGAGGGUACUGAAAACUACAUUCGCAAAAAGCGACUUCCACUCUAUUUGAUGGAGUCAGAUGAAGCAAGAUGGAGUCGGAUGAACGUUGACAAAUGUUGACGAAUACCGCAGGUACGGAUAGUUUACAAGUUUACAGUUUACAGGUUUACAGUAUAAACUUUAUGCGAAUGCUCGCCGCGCUGCUAUCUUUAGCCAUUGCUGAAAUAGUCCACGUGCCUUUGACCACUUGUCCUGUUUGGAUUUUUGUACAGUCCAAUUCAUCGAUUUGAAUUACAAUCGCAAGCAAUGUUAAUUACACACGACACAUGUGUGUACAAAAUGUUUCCCGCAAGAUGACGUAAUUCAUUUUUCUGUGUAAGAAGAUUUCUAUAUAGAACAAUAAUUUUAAAUACACUAAUCGAUUCAGUUCGCUAAUCUGAGCCAAAAAGUAUUAGACCAUACAAGACAAGAAAUUAUUAGUUUACGAGCUAUUUAAGUGCGAACAAUGCAACUUAACGCUUCAAAAGUUUUGCCAAUUCGCAAGAUGGAAAUGUAUCCUAGUACGAUGUCUCCUUUUGGGUUUGCAAGGUGGCCUACACGUUUGUUGGUAAGCGCCCGUGCCACAGAAAUCUGCAGGAGUGAUUCCGAAAUGCAGCUGCUCAACGAAGUUCCGCAGAUGUCGAAAGAAUUGCAACGGCGGUCAGAGAAUCACUGGGCGACAGAGUUUUUCGCGCUCUUAGUGAAGUAAUAUACAAUAGACUAUAAACACAAGGGAUACAAGAAGUGAAGCAUAGUUAUGGUGAAGAGAAUCACAAUGCAUGCUACGGUUGAGAUAAAUACGUAUAUAUGUAUAUUGAUCUUCGCACAUCUUUCGUUGGUGUGGAAUUCGAACGCAGAGCCGUCCCUAGAGAUUACGGAGCCCUGAGUAAGCUGUGCCCUUACAAAAAUACAUAUAUGUACCUAGCACUAAAAAUAUCUAACAAUAUGUGCAAGACCUGUGGCAAAAGCGCGAGUUGGGGCAAGUGCCAAGUUUGCCUGGUGCUAUGGACAGUUCUCUUCAAUUAGGUAUUUGAUAUGCAGCACAACAUGAUGAUUUCGAUUGUCUAAAGGCAUUAGUGAAUAAAGGUGUUUCAGUGCAUGAAGAAAAUUCUGCUGCCAAUAUUCUGCUUAGUGUGGUAAUACAAAGUCACAUCAAUGUUGAUCAGAUUUUAUUAUAAUUUUAUGCGAACGCUAAUUUAAGAGGUGCAUAUGAAAGGUUCACUAAUUAAAAGGAAGAUUCAACGGGAGAGGAAAGGAAGCAGAAACGUACAAACUCAACGGAAAUUUAACGAAAAAAUAUUAAAAAUUGUAAAGGCAUUCGAUCCGACCCCGUAUUCAUCUCUCUCGAUAGUGUUACGGCCCAGAGGGACCCCUUGAUCUCAACAACUGGGACUCAAAUGGAUAUAUUUAUAAUAAUCUUCGUUCAUUAUGAAGAAUAUAAUAAACUAACCAUUUUAUUUUAAUUUUAGUUUAACAUUUUAUUAUCGACCAUCAAUAAACUUUCAAUUUUUCUGGAAAUUAUGCCGCAGGAAAUGUAUGCAAGUAGGCUCGAAACUAAAAGUUAAUCAGGAUAAAAAUAUAUUAAAUUCAAGUUGAAUUAGCCACAUUCAGACGUAAUAUAAAAAGUUGGUAAAAAUUAUUGAUAAAAUUUUAAUAGCUAAAAUAAAAUAUAAAUAAUCGGCGAUGAAUGCAUACAUAAGGAGCAAAUUAAACCUCGACCUAUCAUUUUAUACUAUUGUAUCAAUAAUUUAUCGAAAAUAAAAAGAAAUCAACUAUCAA